rnacentral:lncRNA from 1 species
GGGUUCCGCUUGACUCUGCAUUCUCCUACUUCCCUGCCUGCUUACUCUCUGCCAUCAUAGUUUUUUGCUUCAACCUUCAAAUGUAGCCAUUCUUUUUCUAAAGGGGUACUUAUUCUCUUUAUUAGUUAAAAUUAUUAAUUUUAUGCACUUAUUGUUCUAGCUCCAAUUUUGCAUUUCCAGUUCCCUGCUGGGAAUAAAUUAAAUUGGCAGAAGCUCGGCCUAAGUGCCUGCAACAGAAUUUGUCCCAUAUCCAUACAACUUGCUCCUCCACAACAAAUGGGAGAAUCAUCCUCUUACCUCCACCAGCACCUGCCUCAAACAAAGUUUCUGAUCCAUCUACCAUGUAACUUUGACGCUGACCAAGAAUUACAGCUUCAAAGAAACCAUUCGAGGAUCAUUAAUAUCUUGAUCAUGAAUAACUUUCAUGUGAAAGGCUCUGCAGCUAAUCUCAAGCGCAGUGAACUCUGUUUCAUUACUGUAUUUCCAAAUAUUAGAGUUAUUUGGGUUGUAUAUAGGUCAGAUAAUUUACUUUUUUGUUUUCAA